GAGGGAGAAGACAGUUUUAUAACCUUGUUCACUGUUUUGUUUUCUCUGUGGCAGUUAAUAGAGAGAGGAACAUUUUCAGAUGAAUCAACAAAGUUAGAACCACUUUCAUCCUUUCUACACAAACGAUAUGUUGUAUUCCCGUCUGAUAGACCUAUGAAGGGAAAGCAGCUCAGGAUGGCCAAUGGUUUCCCUCACCAGUGCAGUCACUAAAGAGAAUCAAGAAUCAGGAAGUCAGACUACACUCUGCAAUUGCUUCUUCAAACCUUAAAAAUCAAGGAGACAUGGAGCGAAUGACUGUAUUGGGUUUGAGUCAAUGGAGAAUUACGUUCUGCUGCAUCUGGAGAGGAUAAGAAUUUGCAGGAAUCGUGGUAAAAUAUCUGUACUAAAAAAGGAAUGAGUUGUUUCAAAUAAAAAAUUUGUGUGACUUGUUGCUAAUUCCAAAGAAAGAGGAUAGAGAUUAAAUAUGAGGCACAGGCUGUAAACUAUUCAGGAUGGCUUUCAUAGCUCAAAGGGUAUAAUUAAAAGUAUGGAACAAACUGCCAAAGUCUACGAUGGAAAUGAAUAGUGUAACACCAGGUCAAAAGGGAUCUGGACUCAUUUCUGGAAGAAGAGACAAUGCACAGCUGUUAGAGUGUAUUUUAAAGGAUGAAGAUGAUCAGUUACUGCAUGAAUUGAUUGGUAUUUCCUGGGCAUGUUCUGUUAGAAUUUUAGUAUCUCCUGGACCUUCGGUCGUUGUUUGUUUCUGGCAACUGCAUCCAUACAGGAGCAAAUGUCUUCCAUUGACUUGAAAUUUAUAUUGUAGAAUAAAAUUACUGUUUUCUCCAGCAAAAAUUCCUCGGUGGAAAGGAAUUUUCAUAUUAUUGCCAUGACAUCAGUUCAUUCAGAAAAGAUAAGCAGCUAACUACAUACCCUGGAGUCUUGUAUUCUCUUAAAUCAUCAGAAUCUGGGAGCAUAAUCAACUGCGUAUACACGUCUGUGUAAUUAAUAUCCAAACAACUGCAUACACCUUUUGAGUUACACUGGCUCUACAGUCUAAAUAAUGUAAUGCACUAUGUAAAAACUCAAAAUAAGAAACAAAGUGACAGGGUUGGCAAUAGCCUGAUGGAAGGACACUGUAAACAUCCAUGAAUCCCACUUUAGUAACUUAUCCAGACAUUCCAGAGGCCAAGGCCAAAACAGACCAUCCAAGUUAGAUGGAGGCAGGCAAAGACAAAACUGAGGGGCUUUAGAGAACCUGAUGCUCACAAAUGUCUUGAAUGUCAUAGUCAACCCCUUCACAUAGUGCCACUCAGAUGUUUCAUUGCCUUGAGAGAAGAGCUUUCUGCUUCUUCAACAACUGUGAUAUCACUAUGAAGAGUCCAUUUCCACACUGCUGGCACAGAAAAAAGAGACACUCUAAAGGAGGAGUUGCUGGAGUGAGAAGAAGUUACAAGCAUCUGGAUUUACUGGACAAGGCUUGGGGAAAUUCUUGGAGAAGACUCUAUUAAGCUGAAAGGCUGAAGACUAAUGAGCACUGCCUGCUCUGUUGCAUUCCUAGAGCUUCCAUUUAUUUGAGGCUGGAAAUGGUUGCUGUAUCCUUUUAGCAACUCCUUCAUUAGAUGCAAGCAGCAGGCAUGGAGAACCUUGUGAAGCUGGAUUCACCCACUUUUUACACUCUCCGUAAUACAGAAUAGUGACCCCCUUUUAUGGUACAAAAGAGAGGAGGCAAGUAUGAAGGACUUUUCUGGAUCCUGUACAGGCUACCUAACACACUGACUGCAGUCCAGCAUGAAAUCUGCUUAGAUCAGAGCAGAGACAUAACGGAUGCCCAAGGCUUUGUUUGCCCUAGCCAAAACUAUGGUUCCCGUGCAAAGAGACAACAGCUAUUUCUGACAUAGCUCCAAAUUUGCAGGGCCCUGAGAAUAGAAAAGUAGCAUGUGGAGGCAAAUCCUGUGGUUAAUCCCGCCAUUGUACAACAUCUCUUUAGUCCGAGGAGUUUGUAAAACUUAGGUCAUAUCAGUAUCUUACCUAUAUAUGGAAAAGGACCACGGAUAACCACUUUAAUUUGUAGGCUUUUUGCAGCAUAGUCUGAGUCACCCUCAUUAGAUGGAGGAGCAACAGAAAUAGAAAUUCUCACUGAAAUAGACCUAGAGAAGUCAUCAUAGCCCCAGUCUUCACUCCCUCCCAAGUUUUUCUAGGCACUGCAUAAAUACAGCAGGAGCUUGUCCAUACCUCAAAGGGGUUUUAAUCUAAAUAUUGCCAGAAAUUUAAUAGCAGUUCAAACGUUUCAAGGUUUUCCAGCUUUGCAUACCACAUGCAUUACUACUGGUACAGAUCUGUUUAAAGCAACUUGAAUUGUGCAGGUGAACAGGCCUGCAGGGCUGGGUAGCAUCUGCAGCCACUGAGUGCUUUUGGGGAUUGAUUUUUAAGGGACUUCCUGAUGUGUAUGGACUGCUUUCAUUCUAUUUGUAACAUCUUCCUACCAGUGCUUUGAAUAUACUAUUCCAGUUGAGUUUAGGAAGAAGUCCCUUCCAACGGGAAAGGAACACAAGUUACAAGCUUAGUUGUUAAUUAGCAGUUGGGUGGCUGAUUGGUCACUUUUACUGUUGAGCUCACCUACACCAGCUAUUAGUUACCACUCUUGGAUUGAAAUCAGUCUGUCUUCCUUCCCUGUGCCCCACUUCAGGGCACAGGAAUAAAGACCUGUAAUCAUUAUACCAAAAAGAUAUAAUUCUUCUUGAUUUUCAUUAGUCAUUUCUCAUUUCUACAGUAUUUGGUGAAUUAGCUAUUGUAUUUCAGAACUGAUCCCUCAUCAUACAGGUGAGAUCUAGAUUUCCCUGGCAAACUUCCUGCUAGUGCAUAUAGGGCUGGGAUCAGUUUCUCUUUAAGGGAUUCAGAUAUAUAUGUAUAUAUUUUCUUAUAUUAUUUUUGUACUGUACUCCCUGUUCAUAUUAUGGCACAUCCUAAUAGAAAAAAAAAAAUGUACUGGUAAAAAUCUUUCAAUAAGCUUUGGAGCUCUCUUCAUGAUACUGUUUCUUCUUCAGAGGAAAGUAUUCAGUCAAAGUUGUGCAAGUCUCUCUUCUGCACUGAAUUUGCCAAAAAAAAAAAAAAAAAAUAGCAAGAGCGGAAAACCUAUAAAAGAGACACUGAAGUACUGCACACAGAUUGAAUGUUUCACUGGUCUUGCUUCCAGUUCUGCUCCAAGCACUUUGGCACAUCCUAAAUCUUAAACACCUGGCCCACUGCCUUUCCUGAAGAGAGAUGUUUCUGUGUGUCAGGCGUCCAGUUUUAAAAAUAUGUUUGUGUUAGCACCAGAUGUUUUUGGUGGUUUGUUGAUCAUGCAAAGGAAAAGAUCCUACCAAGUCUUCUAAUACUUUUGAAAACCUUACAGUGAGAGAUUUCUUCAGAUUUGGAUAAUGCUCCUAAAGGGCCAAAGGGGACAUCAGUAUCAUUUUUUGAAGCUGAUAUUACCUGAUAAUAGAACUUCACUUACAAAGACUGCUACAUGGAUUAAUCCUAGCUUGGAUUUGCUUUUAGUACUCUAAUAUUACUCUGGAUUUUUGAGUUUGUUAUUCCUUUAAGGCAGAAUUUUAUACAUAUUUUUUAUUUUAGACAUAUAUUUUAUACAUGUAUAUAUAUACUUUUUUACAAAUCUUCCUUGGCUAUUUUUUCUCAUAGUGUUAGUGUAUGCACAUUGUAGUCUAAUGCACAGAUAAAUGGACUAGGUCUGGAAAAGCUGUUCUGGGACCACAGUCCAACUGGAUAAGACAUUGAGACUACAAGAGCCACAAGAAUUCUCUCAUCUACAUUUGUUUCUGAAAGAAUAGUGAAACCCACCUUUAAAUUUACUGAAGUAUCUUCACUUGUCCAUUUCAACCAUAAUAACAGUUCCUACAUUCUUAUAUGGGAUUUCCUGGCUGAAAAGCCAUGAGCAGAAGAACCCAACUCUCCCAGAAGAAGUCUGAUCUACACACACAUUGCAUAUAUGCAUUAAAUGUUGUCCUUUCAAAGUAUACUGGACUUUCAGCUUAAGGGCAAAUGAGAGGCAUGAUUUGAUGAGUGCCAUCAAACUGAUACUGCCAUGAGCUGCUGGAGUCACACACAGGACUAGUGCAGCUGAUCAGCUUGUGUGCUAAGAGGCCCCAGGCUGUGGUGCGUAAAGCAGUUAGGUAUGAUGGAACACAGAUAUGCUUUCAUUAGCUUGCUAGAGGCCUAGGAUCCUCAAGUGUAAAAAUUCCCUUAUACGUACGUAUUUUUCCUAGACAACAUUUCUGAGUGGCAAAAUAGUUUUCAGAGGAAGUCCAGGCACAAGAAGACUUGGUCACUGCAAGGCCUAGAGACCGUUUACUGGGCUGAAGACUUCAGGGAACUCUGGUGCUGUGCCUCUUCACCUCCCCCUUGCCUGUUUCCAGUGCAUAAAGUCCAUUGAAGCUCACAGUAGCUUUCUGUUUGUUCAUUUGUGGUGGGUAUUAGGCUGAUCACCCUCAGCAUAGGAGUUUGUCCAUUAGUCAGGAGCACAGGAAGAUUGCAGAGGAAGAGAGGAGAUAAUGCACAUUGCUCUUUUUCUAUGCUUCUUCCAUAUUAUUGCUGACAGAUUUGACCUGUGACAAAUCCUUGAAAUAUGGUUGUGCAGACAGAGAUGGGACAGAUCCAAGGAUAAAAAGCCUGUGCUUGGAAAACGCUGUGCUGUGACAGAUUGCAUGAGCUCAUAUGUAUCUCUCUGCCAUUGCAUGUUUGCUCUUGCUUACUUAGAGAAAAGCAGCCACAGAUCUGCAGAGGAUGAUGGCUGUACAGGGUGCAAUAUCUUAUCCUCAAACCUAUGGAGCAGGAAAACAUGCAUCAGUCCAGAGACUGAGGCUCUCCUAACAAUAUGGAUCAUUUGAGUCUGAUAGCUUGUGCCAGAAGUGCAUUUUUUCUUUUGUGAAAGAUGAAAUCCUGACAUUCCUGGCUAGCCCAAUAUAAAUAUGGCCACCCAAGUACUGUGGCAUUAUUUGAGUUCAUCUGCUGAAUAGCUGCUAUGUGGUUUCUUUGGCAGCUCAGUGAUUCCCUCAGCUAACAGAAAACUGUGGCUCCUCCCUCAGUGGCAGCUGCUGCCUGAGGGCUGGCCUUACAAUCAAACCCAAACACACCAUGACCCCAUGGAGGCCCCAUCGGUCUGCUUGUCCCUGGCACUUGAGGCUGAGCAUUUGCAUGGGCCUGGCCUAGGAGCCGGUUCUGCUCCGUGGCUGUGAAGCCGUAACCAGGUCCAACCUGGGAAUCAGUUUCCCUGGCCUCUCCCUUAAAACACAAACAAUUUCUCACCACUGUAGCCAGAGGAAGAGAGAGCACAUUUGUAUUUUACACUUGCACUUGGCUGGAUGUUGCUUGUGCUAGUUUUCUGAACACUGUACUGGGCAUGCUAGUAGUGCAGGACAAAGUUCACUUCAUGUGAUGCAAAGAGGAUUGGGGAAAGAUGACCUCGAGAUCGGUACUGAGGUUCCCCCCUGGGAAUUUUGUUUAAUUUUUUAAUAUUUUUAUUUUUUAAUAUUAUUUUUUUAAUGAAAA